GUAAUCCUGCAGAAGAUGCAGUCCUGAUGAAAGAAGUGAAUAUUCCAACUAACUUAAUUUAUUCCCACCUCAGCCAUUGGAAUGGAAGUUUGAAGCAGAAAAUUCCACAUUGUGAAUAACUUUGAAGAUGCUACCAAAAUGUUGGUAUUAUCUCAAAGAAAAAUAUACAGAAUUUCCUGAAAGCUAAUUGAAGUUGUCUGCCUCUUCCAACUACAUAUGUGUAUACAUCCAGGCUUUCUUCAUCUACUUCAAUCAAAACAAAAUAUCUCAACAGAUUGAAUAAAGAAGCAGGUGAGAAAGUGAGCCCUGAGAUGUUCAUGACUUGCUGGUAAGCAGUGGAGGCCACAAUUUAAGCCCACAGUCUUACAUUAAAGCCUAUGUGCUUAAUCACUCUGCUAUGGGAGUUCCUCUAGAAUGUGGUAUUUGAAUGGAACAAAGCAGCAUGCAGUAGUCAGAAACCAUAGGUUCACAAUACUUAAAGAGACGAGGAAUAGGAAGAACAAAUCUCACAGGGAAUAUGCUUGAUAGAUGAGGUACAUUGACUACACGAAAUGCAGUCCAGAGAAAAGUGCCUCAUUUUUCAGUAAAGUGACAUAUUCCUGGUUUAGCAG
rnacentral:lncRNA from 10 species